ensembl:lncRNA
GGCCUGACGAAUUUCGAUGAUUCACCAUGGAAAAUGAAGUUGCGAUAACUCAGACAUACAAUGUCCAAUCUGACACAAACUUCACAUGUUUGAUAAGACUCCUGACCUGAACAGAUUGAUAUGCCCAUAUUCAGUUAUAGUCAUAGCGCCACCUACUGACAACAGGAAGUGACAUAUUUUACACUGUAACAAAGUACCCCGAGAAAUUUUAUGACAUAAUUUUUUUUUUUUCAGUCACUCUAUUCUAAAGACCUGUGCGAUGUUAAAUUGUGAAGAUCUUGAGUUUUCGUUAAAGGGCGUGUCCAUGGCGCCAUCACAAAGUUCGAUGUCUCGCCAUGGGAAUAAAAGUUAUUGUAACUCAGGCAUAAAAUGUCCGAUCUUGCCCAAACUUCUCAUGUUUGAUAAGAGUCCUGGCCUGAACACAUCUGAUGGCCAAUAUUCCAUCGGGUGUGGCAAAAUGCCUCAAUAGCGCCACCUAUACACUUUCAACGGAGUGUGCCUCGAGCUACGUUUCACAUACAUGUACAAAAAUCGGUACACACAUGUAACACACCAAUACCUACAAAAAAUCUCUUGGUAUGAAAUUUGAAUCCCAACAGGAAGUCGGUUAUUUUGAAUUUUCUCUGCAAAAUUUGUGUCGUUUUUGCCAUUUUCAGGGGUUGUACUUUAACGAACUCCUCCUAGAGAUUUAUUCAGAUCAAC